rnacentral:snoRNA from 1 species
UUGUUCUCUAUGAUGAAGCAUAUUCGGAUGUAAAUCACUAAAUUACCGAGAGCGCAAAACCGUGUGGAUAUCUUCCGUUGCCUUCCUUCUGAUCGCGUCA